rnacentral:miRNA from 1 species
CUUUUAUCUGAAACUGCUUGA